rnacentral:tmRNA from 1 species
GGGGCCGACUGGUUUUGACAGCGGGUCUAAUGAUAUUGUAAGCAUGUCGAGCGCUGAGAUACAGCUCGUAAAUCUCAUAUUUCACACUUUUUAAACGGCGAGAAUAACUACGCCCUAGCUGCAUAAUCUGAAUUUUAGUAGGAUAAUGCCUAGUCCCGCAAGGCGGGAAAGCAGGAAGUCACUCGAUUGCCUUGGUUUACGGCGAUCGAUCCAGUGACUUCGUAAAAGUAAACCUAGCUUGUACAGGGCUUUGAUGUACUUGUGAAACUUUAUUGAAGCUAAGCUGUGCGUUGGUAGUUUUUGACCGGCAAGCGGACGAAAAUCUGAACAAAAACUAAACAUGUAGAAAGCGGUAUUAUUGUUCGUUUGGACGAGGGUUCGACUCCCUCCGGCUCCACAA